rnacentral:lncRNA from 1 species
UGUUAAACUGGUCUUCAGGCAGUGUUAUCAAACAGCUUUCAAGACAAUUCUGCAGUAGUUCUGCACAGGAGGGCUCUGUAGCCCCCUUCAUUCCUUCCCAGCUUCCAGCUACCUGCAGCCAGUGGGGGAACUGAGAUGCCAGACUGCCGGUAGAGUAGCUGAGCUGACAGAAAAGAAAUAGCAGCCUGAGCAGGGAUUCUGCUAUAGAAAUGUACAACCAGGUAAUUAUUACCAGUAGCAAACAUUGUUACUGCAUUUUACAUAAUGGAAUUAUGAAUGAGCUAAAGUUAGAAACAGUGUAGGUGAAUUGUUAAUAUCCUUAUGCAAAUAUAGAUGCUGCACAAAGUACGGUGAUUUAAAACACACAAAGCAGAAGUGCUGAAGAAGUUGUAGGAUGUCCUGACAAGGAAAGCAAAUUAUCUGAGCAUCGAGCUGCCUGCAUGCUGGGUUGGACGGUGCUACACUUAGCAGCCUGCACAUUUGUUAGUUGUUUUUAAAGCCGGUGCGAGUGAUCUGAGUUUAAUCCGGAUCGUGGUUUAAUCCAGAUCUGGGUUUAAUCCAGGUCACUAGCGGCAGCCUUCUGUCUGGGAGCACAGCACAUUCCAGGCAGCGCGGCCAGAGAGGAGCACCCCAAUUUCCUGGCCCUGUGCGGCACAAACCAGCAGUCCCCCCGUGCCAGGAGAGGUGUGGGGCAAGGUGUGCCUGUGGGAGCUCGUGGGCUGCUGGCUGGCAGGGCCCACGAACCCGGCGAGCCUGUCGCGUGGCGGCUGCAGGCCUCGAGGGCUGGCAGGAGCUGGGGCCUCGGGAGACGCUACGAGAGCUGUCCGGGGCUGUGCGACACACCAGGGAAGCCGCUGGAAUGUAGGGCAUUGGGACAGCUGCACGAGGCCAGGCCAGCGGCUCGGGCAGGCUGCAAGGCUUUGGGUUUGGAAACCAUGACAGAUACUUGUGCUGGCUGCUGUCAGGGCCAGGAGGAGGAGCCCGGCCGGCCGCCUGCGUUAAGUGGCACCGAGCUUCGGGGAGGGAGCCGAGGUGUGCCCAGCUGCGCGUGGGUUUGGGAGGUAUGGCAUUGGAGAAAGAGGAGACCAAAUCAUCAGAGGCUUGAGGACGCAGGUUUUGUGACAGCUUGCGUCAGGACGUACAGGGAUGUCGUCACUUCACACACCUUUCGUUUCAAAGCUUCCUGUCCACUAAAACUACUAGCAACGCGAGAAGCUAUUCUUCCUGGAGCUGAGAGGUGUUCGCUUCGUUGUGUUGCACAGCUCUUCGGGACAUUCCUGCCUUCGCUUAGGCAGGGUCAGUCAUUACCUGCCUGCAUUCUCUACCUUCAACU